CCGCCUGGCCCCGAGGGCGCGCGCGUGGCCCAGUGGCCGAUCGCGACAUGUCGGGGGCGGCGGCGACAGCGAAAGGGCUCCCCCGGCACUGCCCCCCCGACCACGGAGCUUUCCAGGUGGAUGUGGCCGAUCCCAAAAGCGUCGCCGGGAUGGUGAGGGGGGUGCAGGAGCACUUUGGGGUUCCCCCCCGUGUCCUGGUGUCCUGUGCCGGGAUCACCCGCGACCGGAUGUUCCUGGAGAUGGGAGAGCGGGAAUUCCGGGAGGUGCUGGGGGUGAACCUGGAGGUGAGAGGGGACACUGGGGACACUGGGGGGACAUUGGGGGGACAUUGGGGGGACAUUGGGGACAUUGGGGGACAUGGGACAUUGGGGGACAUUGGGACACUGGGAACAUUGGGGGCAACAGUGGGGGCAUGAGGGACAUUGGGGGGAAUUGGGGACAUUGGGGUCAUGGGGACAUUGGGGGACAUUGGGGACAUUGCGGGGACAGUGGGGACAUUGGGGACAUUGGCGGGGACAUUGGGGACAUUGGGGGAACAGGGGGGGACAUUGGGACAUUUGGGGGACAUUGGGGACAUUGGGGGACAUUGGGGGGACAUUGAGGACAUUGGGGGACAUUGGGGGGGUUGUGCCACCCCCGAUGUCCCCCCGCUGCCCCCCCAGGGGACGUUCCUGGUGACACAGGAGGUGACAAAGGCCCUGGUGACAUCGGGGGACCCCGGGGGGGCCUCCCUGGUCCUCGUGGGCAGCGUGGUGGCCAAGGUUUGGGAUCCGCUGCAAUUCCGUCCUGCCGGGAUUUAUCGUCACCCCCAUGACGGACAAAGUGCCCCUAAAAGUGCUGGACAAGGUGACAGCGGGGGGGUGGCACCUCCUGGGGACAUUGGGGGACAUUGGGGACAUUGGGGACAUUGGGG
rnacentral:lncRNA from 1 species